rnacentral:rRNA from 1 species
AUGCAAGUCGAGCGGUAAGGCCCUUCGGGGUACACGAGCGGCGAACGGGUGAGUAACACGUGGGUGAUCUGCCUCGCACUUCGGGAUAAGCCUGGGAAACUGGGUCUAAUACCGGAUAUGACCUCUUGUCGCAUGGCUUGGGGUGGAAAGAUUUAUCGGUGCGAGAUGGGCCCGCGGCCUAUCAGCUUGUUGGUGGGGUAAUGGCCUACCAAGGCGACGACGGGUAGCCGGCCUGAGAGGGCGACCGGCCACACUGGGACUGAGACACGGCCCAGACUCCUACGGGAGGCAGCAGUGGGGAAUAUUGCACAAUGGGCGAAAGCCUGAUGCAGCGACGCCGCGUGAGGGAUGACGGCCUUCGGGUUGUAAACCUCUUUCGACAGGGACGAAGCGCAAGUGACGGUACCUGUAGAAGAAGCACCGGCCAACUACGUGCCAGCAGCCGCGGUAAUACGUAGGGUGCGAGCGUUGUCCGGAAUUACUGGGCGUAAAGAGCUUGUAGGCGGUUUGUCGCGUCGUCUGUGAAAACUCACAGCUCAACUGUGAGCUUGCAGGCGAUACGGGCAGACUUGAGUACUGCAGGGGAGACUGGAAUUCCUGGUGUAGCGGUGAAAUGCGCAGAUAUCAGGAGGAACACCGGUGGCGAAGGCGGGUCUCUGGGCAGUAACUGACGCUGAGAAGCGAAAGCGUGGGUAGCGAACAGGAUUAGAUACCCUGGUAGUCCACGCCGUAAACGGUGGGCGCUAGGUGUGGGUUUCCUUCCACGGGAUCCGUGCCGUAGCUAACGCAUUAAGCGCCCCGCCUGGGGAGUACGGCCGCAAGGCUAAAACUCAAAGGAAUUGACGGGGGCCCGCACAAGCGGCGGAGCAUGUGGAUU